AGUGAACGCUGGCGGUAGGCCUAACACAUGCAAGUCGAACGGCAGCACAGUAAGAGCUUGCUCUUACGGGUGGCGAGUGGCGGACGGGUGAGGAAUACAUCGGAAUCUACUUUUUCGUGGGGGAUAACGUAGGUAAACUUACGCUAAUACCGCAUACGACCUACGGGUGAAAGCAGUGGAUCUUCGGACCUUGCGCGAUUGAAUGAGCCGAUGUCGGAUUAGCUAGUUGGCGGGGUAAAGGCCCACCAAGGCGACGAUCCGUAGCUGGUCUGAGAGGAUGAUCAGCCACACUGGAACUGAGCCACGGUCCAGACUCCUACGGGAGGCAGCAGUGGGGAAUAUUGGACAAUGGGCGCAAGCCUGAUCCAGCCAUACCGCGUGGGUGAAGAAGGCCUUCGGGUUGUAAAGCCCUUUUGUUGGGAAAGAAAAGCAGCAGGUUAAUACCCCGCUGUUCUGACGGUACCCAAAGAAUAAGCACCGGCUAACUUCGUG
rnacentral:rRNA from 1 species